AACGAACGCUGGCGGCAGGCUUAACACAUGCAAGUCGAGCGCCCCGCAAGGGGAGCGGCAGACGGGUGAGUAACGCGUGGGAAUCUACCCAUCUCUACGGAAUAACGCAUGGAAACGUGUGCUAAUACCGUAUACGUCCUACGGGAGAAAGAUUUAUCGGAGAUGGAUGAGCCCGCGUUGGAUUAGCUAGUUGGUGGGGUAAAGGCCUACCAAGGCGACGAUCCAUAGCUGGUUUGAGAGGAUGAUCAGCCACACUGGGACUGAGACACGGCCCAGACUCCUACGGGAGGCAGCAGUGGGGAAUAUUGGACAAUGGGCGCAAGCCUGAUCCAGCCAUGCCGCGUGAGUGAUGAAGGCCCUAGGGUUGUAAAGCUCUUUCACCGGUGAAGAUAAUGACGGUAACCGGAGAAGAAGCCCCGGCUAACUUCGUGCCAGCCGCCGCGGUAAGAC
rnacentral:rRNA from 1 species